AAUGGUCUGUAAAAAGGGGGAAGGCAGCCAUUGCUUUGCACCACUCAGGAAAAAACAAUUAUCAGGCUUUUAUGGUGACUUGUGUCAGGUAGUCAUGACGUUACCAGAGAGACCAGCAAAGAAUCCACGAAUCUAUCAGUGUGAUGUUUGCCAGAAAACUUUCACUGAAAAAGCUAAUAUGAAAAGACACAAAGCCAUUCACAGCAAUGAUAGACCAGUUUUUUUCUGUGACUUGUGUCCUAGGACGUUUUCAUGGAAGGAUAAUCUUGAGAGGCACAAGAGAUACAAUCAUUCCUGUGAAUAAUAAAAAAAUUUUAUGUAUUAUAUGAAACUGCAGUACAUUUGUAAGCGACAAGUGAUCAAGAUGCUCUGCACCAACUUGGUAAAAUAAAGACUUAUCAAUUCACAUUAUUAAACUAUGUAUUGAGUGAUAAAAGUAGUUUUACGCUGCUGUUCUCCUUUCUUAUUUCUGAUAGCGAUGGUCUGAAACAUUUCUCAAAUCUUAUCAUAAGGUAUUUAUUAUGGGUUUGACCCUUCAUAAACAAAAAAAAAUCUGAGAGUAAUGUUUUAACUGUUGAAUUUCCUAUUGAAUCUACAUUUAGGACCAUGUUUCAAACAAAUAAACUUUAUCAUAAGGAUGUGUUUCAUAAGUGCUUAUAUACUAAAGCAUUAAUUCUACAGUUGAUAAGGGUAACGUGAAACAGUUGAAGAAAACACAGAGAUUGAUUAUUAAAUAUAAAAGUUGUUUUGUCAGUACACUUGUGUUCAGAACAUAUGAAAUAUAAAAAUGUU
rnacentral:misc_RNA from 1 species